AACGAACGCUGGCGGCAUGCCUAACACAUGCAAGUCGAACGAGAUCUUCGGGUCUAGUGGCGUACGGGUGCGUAACGCGUGGGAAUCUGCCCUUUGGUUCGGAAUAACAGUUGGAAACGACUGCUAAUACUGGAUGAUGACGAAAGUCCAAAGAUUUAUCGCCAGAGGAUGAGCCCGCGUAGGAUUAGCUGGUUGGUGUGUUAAAGGCGCUCCAAGGCGGGGAUCCUUAGCUGGUCUGAGAAGAUGAUCAGCCACACUGGGACUGAGACACGGCCCAAAAUCCGGCGGUAGGCAGCAGGUGGUAAUAUUGGACAAUGGGCGAAAGUCUGAUCCAUCAAUGCCGCGUGAGUGAUGAAGGUCUUAGGGUUGUAAAUCUCUUUUACCCGGGAUGAUAUUGACAGUACCGGGAGAAUAAGCUCCGGCUAACUCCGUGCCAGCAGCCGCCGUAACAC
rnacentral:rRNA from 1 species